rnacentral:lncRNA from 1 species
UCUCACACUUUUUUCUAUUUUUCCAUAUUUUUCUCUCACAUUUUAUUCUAAAGCAUAGAAUCAUCUCUCUACUUUUUACUCACUCAUUUCAUCAUUUUUCUUAUCUUCCACCAUUUUUUUAUCUUCUUGGUUCGUAUUCUUUUUCCAUUUCAUUUCACCAUUGAUGUCUCUUAUUGUUGGUUCACCCUUGCAGCAUUAUUUUAGGUUAGUUUUCUAUAUAUUUGUGUAUCUAAUAUUUUGUUUGUAGAAUUUUCUACUAAAAGUAAUCAUUAUUUUAACAAAGAGCAUAUGAAUUGUCUUUACCAGGUUGUAAUAUGAUUGUUGAAAAUGGCAUAUGGAUUGUCUAUACCAGGUUGUAAUAUAAUUUUUUAUCUUCUUGGUUCGUAUUCUUCUUCCAUUACAUUUCAUUUCACCCUUGAUGUCUCUUAUUGUUGGUUCACCCUUGAAGCAUUGUUGUAGGUUAGUUUUCUAUAUAUUUGUGUAUCUAAUAUUUUGUUUAUAGAAUUUUCUACUAAAAGUAAUCAUUAUUUUAACAAAGAGCAUGUGAAUUGUCUUUACCAGGUUGUAAUAUAAUUGUUGAAAAUAGCAUCGACAAUGAUAGAUGAUAGAGAGGAAGAAAAAAGA